UACGUAGGGUGCGAGCGUUGUCCGGAGUUAUUGGGCGUAAAGGGUGCGUAGGCGGUUUGGUAAGUCUUAUGUGAAAUCUACAGGCUCAACUUGUAGUCUGCAUGAGAAACUGCCGGGCUUGAGUGUGGGAGAGGUGAGUGGAAUUCCUGGUGUAGCGGUGAAAUGCGUAGAUAUCAGGAGGAACACCUGUGGCGAAAGCGGCUCACUGGACCAUAACUGACGCUGAUGCACGAAAGCUAGGGGAGCAAACAGG
rnacentral:rRNA from 1 species